ACGCAACUGCAAUUUCAUUGCAAGAACGAAUUCGAAAGUACAGGUUUAGAUGGGUAUGGCAUACCUUAAACAAAAAUCAACAGAAAAAUGACCGAAUAAGGUUUAAUUUUCGAAGCUGGAACUCAACCACUAAACUUAGAAUCAACAGCCUAAAAAAAUCAGCAGCAAUCAAUAGAUGAACAACCAUCCAAUUUUCUAAAAAUUUCUUUUGAAUGUUUUUUUUGAAAACAUAGGACACCAGAUCUGACAUAACCAAACAGAGCUCAUGUAGGUCAGGAGCAGAUGGAGAAGACCAGCGGCUGAUUUUGGUGAAGGUUGUUUUGUUGACGGAAUUCUUAGCCCUGGGGUGGAGAAUAUUUAGGUCUCUUUUCGUGAGAGAGAAAAAUGAGAGGUUGGGAAAAUAUUUUGAACAAAAU
rnacentral:lncRNA from 1 species